GGGAGGUACUUGGGGAAAGGGGUGUGGCUUCGCGUCUGUGUAAGGUUGCCCGGGCUGGCGCCGCUGGGCAACGUUUCCCUUUCCAGCCUUGUUCUUCCGUCCUUGCUGUCUGCCUCCCGGGCUGAUUGGAUUUGUUACUGCUUUGCAACGCGCACCGAACUACAGGGACCCUCCUGCUGCUCCCUCCAUGACGCUGAUCCUGAAGGAAUAGACCUGUGGCUCAUCCCUCCUCCCCAUCUCGGCCCUGAGGCAGACAUACCUUCCACAGUUCUGGGAGCACCGCCUCCACCCAGGUCUCACAGGAUGGGACACAAGGAUAGGCAUUAAGCAGGACUUCCAGGGCCCGAGGGAAGUUGGCACAGUGUUUCAGCAUCUAGGGGUUAAAAGAGGGUAUUGGGCACAUGCCUCCCCCAGCCGAGGGCAGACCCAAGUCUCACCUAACCCACAUGGCCAAUCCUAGCCUAAUCUGGGGGGCUAAGAUCUGAGUCUCUCUUCCCUUUUCUGUGCCUCUGUCUACUCCACCCUCAAGUGCUCAAACCUUUUAGCCCCAGUUUUCCUCUGGGGCUCUUCCUUCCUUUGGACUCUCUCCCGGAAUCCUCUCUCCCCCUCCCAAGCUGGGGACAACCCCCUGGCCACUGAGGGCGGGCUUUCAGUCUCUUGGACCCUCUCUCUUCCCCAGAGGCUGAGUAGUUCUAGCCGUGGGCUCCCCUACACAGGAGCUUCCUAUCUCAGAGUCUCCCAGCGCACCUCACCUCAGGGCGCACAGGCUGGGCCCCGUAGUCCAGCAGUGCGGCGAAGAGGACCUCGGGCUCCCAGUUGGGGGCGUCCUGGACGGCCUGCAGCGCACAGUCCAUGGGCGUGUGGCCCGCCCCAUUGGGGACCUCAGCCUGGGCCCCAUGGCGCAGCAGCAGCUCGGCCAGGCCCCCGCAGCCGUUGGCACAGGCGUUGUGCAGCGGCGUGUGGCGCUUGCGCCCGGCCGCCCGGGCAUCAGCUCCAGCUUCCAGGAGCCGGCGCGCCGCAACCUGGUGCCGCCUGCAGCUGCCGGGGCCCUCGGCCCCAGCGCAUGCCGCGUUCAGUGCCGUCUCGCCCUGGCUGGUGCGCAGGCCCACGUCGGCGCCAUGCUCCAGGUACAGAGCCACAUGCUGCUCCAGGCCGCGCGCCGCCGCCACAUGCAGGGGCGUCUCCUGGCUCUCGCCUGCCGCCAGGUUCACCGUCGCUCCCGCUUCCAGCAGCAACUUGGCGCACCUGGGGACAAGAGAGCAAGGUCCCGGGGAAAAUCCUGAAGGCCUGGGACCCCUUCAGCUUGCUGUCACCCUCCCUUCUCUUUCCACCCCUCACCUUGAGGUCCUACCUGGUGUCCUCCAUGAAUCACACAAGCCCCGCUAUAGACAACAGAACUGAAAGGUGCUGAGAGCUACCAGAAGCAUCUUCAGUUUUCAUAUGAAAACUUAAGCCCAGAAGUGAUUUGUGCAGCCGAGGACACAGCAAGUUAGUGGCUGCACCAGAAAUAGUGCUCACUGCCUCAGACAGUCCCUCCCAGAGUCUACUCCGUCUCAGUUGUCAGUUGUCUCCUUUUUUUUUUUUUUUUUUUUUUUUUGGAGACAGGGUCCCUCUCUGUCGCCCAGGCUGAAGUGCAGUGGUGCAAUUACAUAUAGCUCAUGUAGCCUGGACCUCCCAAGCUCAAGCAGUCCUCCUGCCUCUGCCUCCCAAGUAGCUGGGACCACAGGUGGGCACCAUCACACCUGGCUAAUUUUUAAAAUUAUUUUUUGUAGAGACAGGGUCUCACCAUUUGCCCCAGCUGGUCUCAAACUCCUGGGCUCAAGCAAUCCUCCUGCCUUGGCCUCCCAAACUGCUGGGAUUACAGGUGUGAGCCACCACACCAGGCCUUAUCUCCUAACAUUUUGAUAGCACAAAAUUUGGAAAACCCACUUCUGUGUACGUUAUAAAACACAGAAAAUUAGAAAGUAUGCACCAAAACAAAAAUACAAGUUAUAAUAUUUUAUUUCUGCCCUCACACUUAAAAGACCACUCUUCUAAACCAGGCCACAAUCAUUCAAGCAAAGGCAGGCAUUUGGGGCCACCCUCCUCCACUUUCCCCUAGAGAAAACAAAACCAAAGGAAAAACAGCAACAAAAACAGGUUUUAGAGAGCACAUGUUUCCCAGUUCCAGGGAAAAUUAUAGACCAGAACACUGUGGCAGCAAACAUGCAUCCUUCCUUACUGCAGGGUAAACCAAACAUGCAAAAAACUAAAUUAAUAAUGAUGAAACCAAACUAACAGUAACUUAUAACUAAAAAGCCAAAACUGCAGCUUCUGGAAACUCAGGAGCAGAUCCACCAUCCUCAGUGAAACCCUGAUAACCAAA